UGGAUGCCAUUUUAUUCCAGAGCUCUUGUUUGUAAUUAAAACUUUUAAGAUUAGAUGGUACAGUGUUUUUACUCCCUUCCAAACAGUAAAGUUCCUCUUUGUCUCUCAGUAGGAAAUUUAAACCAGACAGUACAAGGCUACAUUUCAGCUUUACAAGCCAAUCAGUUUGCUAAUUGUUCUUGUGAGAUUUGUUUGCAAAGUUUAAGGUGUUAAGUAGGAGCUUUGAACAUCUGGGUCUGCUUGUUGCUGGCAUUCUGCCAGAGCCCCAGCAACAAGACCGCCUCCCAGCAACGAGACUGCCUGUCAGCCUUGCAAGGUACCCAAUUUUCCAAUUACUCUAUAACAAAAUUGUUGUGGGCAACAAGACUGUCUCCUAGGUUUGCAAGCCAAUCACUUUGCCAAAUGUUCUUGUAAGAUUUGUUUGAAAAGUUUGAGGUGGUAACUGUGAGCUGUGAACAUUUGGGUUUGCUUGCUGCUGGCAUUCUACCAGCGCCCCAGCAACAACACUGCCUCCCAGCUUUGCAAGGUAAUUACUUUCCCAAUUACUGUACACCAAAACGGAGUAACUGUCAUGGUCAACAAAUCUGCCUCCCAACUUUCAAGGUAAUCACUUUCCCAAUUACAAUAUACAAACUGUUAUGGAACUUUACUUAACAAAGCCUUAAGACCGGGUAGUGACACUAUCAAUAUGUCUAUUUAAAGAAAAGAGAGAUUUUUUUUUUGUUCUUGUAGUCAUCUUGUCUAUCAAUGUAUCAGAGGGUUAAAAUAACAAAUUGCUGGUAUACAUCAGAAUUUUUGAUUCGUUUACUGUUUGUCCAUUUACUUCAGGGUAAAGUCUUUUGGCUACCAAUGCAGCUACCUGGUUAUUAUGCUUGACUUAUAAUAAAAGCUGGGUCUGAUCACAUGCUUGAAAUGCCAGCAAUUAAUAUUCUGUUUUUAUGCUGACAUUCUACCAGAUGCCGAGAAAAAAUAAAAGAUCCCAGGCACAAAAGAAGCGCUGGAAACCACUUGACCUGGUCGAUCCUGCUGUCCCAAUGCUCACUGGCCACAACCAAGAUGAGGCAGUCAGUAGUUUUCCAUCUGACCAGCAGACAGCACCAGCCAGGUUAUCCUUGGAAACACAGGAUAGACCCACCUCCUUAUGUUCCCCAGGUAUCAAGCAGACAGCACCAGCCAGGUUGUCCUUGGAAACGGAGAAUAGGCCCACCUCCUUAUGUCCUCCAGACAGCAAGAUUUCAGACACUCGUCCACCAGCAAAACGAGUCUGGGCAACUGAUGAUUUCCACACGGCAUCAAAUUCUCCACCUAAAAAGCCUUUCCACAACACAAAUGAAGAACUACUGACAGAGGAGCUACAGAGCAAUGCAGUUCAGCACUUCUGGUGUGUCAGUGCAACUCAUUGUCAAAGUGAUGAAAGGUACACAGAAUUCUCUCGAAAUCAUCAGUGCACAUGUAAUGCCCUCACAUUCCUGGCCUACCUUAAUGAGGAACACCAGUUCAACACAGCCCGACUUGAUAAGGUGCUUGAACAGGGAGAUGCACUCUACUGUUGGAUUAAAACAAAUCUUCAGCAGGAGGGGCGUUAUACACAAUCAUCUGACCAUAGAGGAACUGCCCAAAAAAGUUCAUGCUGACAUAAAUGUCUACAGUGUGAAA
rnacentral:lncRNA from 1 species